CCAAUAGCGUAUAUUAAAGUUGUUGCAGUUAAAAAGCUCGUAGUUGAAUUUCGGGAUCAGUACGCUGGUCGUACCUUCGGUACGUACUGGUGUCACUGAUUCCUCCCUUCUGAAGAACCAUCAUGCCAUUCAGUUGGUGUGGCAGGGAAUCAGGACUGUUACUUUGAAAAAAUUAGAGUGUUUAAAGCAGGCUCGCGCUUGAAUACAUUAGCAUGGAAUA
rnacentral:rRNA from 1 species